CCUACCUCUCUCUCUUCCUCUCCCUUUCCCUCUCUCUAAAAAAAAAAGGCGGCCAAUUUUUUUCAACCCCCUACCCUGUCCCUCCCUCUCACUAAAAAUACCUCUACUUUGACUAAAAAAAAAAAAAAAAAAUCCCUCAAACACCUCUGCUUCUCUUACCAAACCCCAAAUCACAAAUCUCCAAACACAAAUGCCUCUCCCUCAAACGCCUCCCUCUCUAACCAAACCCAAAAUCCCCAUUCAAACCCAAACUCAAACACCUUUCCUGCAUAAACCACAAAUCCCAACUCUCCAAAUGCAAACCCCAAGCCAGCAACCACUAGUGCACGGAUUUGUCAGAAUUCCCAACUGUUGCUACAACGAGUCCAACCACACCACCUUGAGAGAUUUGUUGUUGCCUAUGCUGCUAUCCAACACGGUGUAGACCAAUGCUAGAGGAAGAAAUCAAAAUAUUGACAAAAACACAGAAGAUGACUCUGAGGAGGAAGAUGAUUCUCAAAAGGACAAUGACUUAGAUGAUGAUUGAUCCUCUAAUAUUUAUGUUUUCAAGUUUGGUGAAGAAUAUUAUAGCUUUCAUGUAUUAAUGAACAUCUGAUGCUAUUUUGUAGACCUUUUAAUAUUUUUGUUUUAUUGCAUUAUGCAAUUAUUAGUUUUGGACAAUUAGGGAUUCGUGCUUGUUAUUUGAAUGGAGAAACUUUUGGGAGAUUUUUGUUAUCCCGCAAUUAAAGUAUUAGAAAUGAUCUCUCUUUUAUUAUUGACA